rnacentral:rRNA from 1 species
UCUGCCCUUUGGCCUGGAAUAACACGAGGAAACUUGUGCUAAUACCGGAUAAGUCUUUACGGAGAAAGCUUUAUGCACCAUUGGAUGAGCCUGCACUUGAUUAGUUUGUUGGUGGGGUAAUGGCCUACCAAGACUGUGAUCAAUAGCUGAUUUGAGAGGAUGAUCAGCCACAUUGGGACUGAGACAUCGGCCCAAACUCCUACGGGAGGCAGCAGUGGGGAAUCUUGCACAAUGGAGGAAACUCUGAUGCAGCGAUGCCGCGUGAGUGAAGAAGGCCCUUGGGUUGUAAAGCUCUUUCGUCGGGGAAGAAAAUGACUGUACCCGAAUAAGAAGGUCCGGCUAACUUCGUGCCAGCAGCCGCGGUAAUACGAAGGGACCUAGCGUAGUUCGGAAUUACUGGGCUUAAAGAGUUCGUAGGUGGUUGAAAAAGUUAGUGGUGAAAUCCCAGAGCUUAACUCUGGAACUGCCAUUAAAACUUUCAGCUAGAGUAUGAUAGAGGAAAGCAGAAUUUCUAGUGUAGAGGUGAAAUUCGUAGAUAUUAGAAAGAAUACCAAUUGCGAAGGCAGCUUUCUGGAUCAUUACUGACACUGAGGAACGAAAGCAUGGGUAGCGAAGAGGGAUUAGAUACCCUCGUAGUCCAUGCCGUAAACGAUGUGUGUUAGACGUUGGAAAUUUAUUUUCAGUGUCGCAGGGAAACCGAUAAACACACCGCCUGGGGAGUACGACCGCAAGGUUAAAACUCAAAUGAAUUGACGGGGACCCGCACAAGUAGUG